GAUGAACGCUGGCGGCGUGCCUAAUACAUGCAAGUAGAACGCUGAAGGAAGGAGCUUGCUCUUUCCGGAUGAGUUGCGAACGGGUGAGUAACGCGUAGGUAACCUGCCUGGUAGCGGGGGAUAACUAUUGGAAACGAUAGCUAAUACCGCAUAACAGUAGAUGUUGCAUGAUAUCUACUUAAAAGGUGCAAUUGCACCACUACCAGAUGGACCUGCGUUGUAUUAGCUAGUUGGUGAGGUAACGGCUCACCAAGGCGACGAUACAUAGCCGACCUGAGAGGGUGAUCGGACACACUGGGACUGAGACACGGCCCAGACUCCUACGGGAGGCAGCAGUAGGGAAUCUUCGGCAAUAGACGGAAGACUGACCGAGCAACGCCGCGUGAGUGAAGAAGGUUUUCGGAUCGUAAAGCUCUGUUGUAAGAGAAGAACGAGUGUGAGAGUGGAAAGUUCACACUGUGACGGUAUCUUACCAGAAAGGGACGGCUAACUACGUG
rnacentral:rRNA from 1 species